GGCCCGUUGGUCAAGCGGUUAAGACACCGCCCUUUCACGGCGGUAUCCCGGAUUCCCGGACGGGUCACCA
rnacentral:tRNA from 1 species